GACGAACGCUGGCGGCGUGCUUAACACAUGCAAGUCGAACGAUGAAGCCGGAGCUUGCUCUGGUGAAUUAGUGGCGAACGGGUGAGUAACACGUGAGUAACCUGCCCUUGACUCUGGGAUAACUGCGUGAAACUGUAUCUAAUACCGGAUACGACCCUCGGAGGCAUCUCCUGGGGGUGGAAAGAAUUUCGGUCAAGGAUGGACUCGCGGCCUAUCAGCUAGUUGGUGAGGUAAAGGCUAACCAAGGCGACGACGGGUAGCCGGCCUGAGAGGGUGACCGGCCACACUGGGACUGAGACACGGCCCAGACUCCUACGGGAGGCAGCAGUGGGGAAUAUUGCACAAUGGGCGCAAGCCUGAUGCAGCAACGCCGCGUGAGGGAUGACGGCCUUCGGGUUGUAAACCUAUUUUAGCAGGGAAGAAGCGAAAGUGACGGUACCUGCAGAAAAAGCACCGGCUAACUACGUGCCAGCCGCCGCGGUAA
rnacentral:rRNA from 1 species